rnacentral:rRNA from 1 species
ACACGGCUGGCGGCAUGCCUAAUACAUGCAAGUCGAGCGAACAGAUGAGGAGCUUGCUCCUCUCUCUGUUAGCGGCGAAUGGGUGAGUAACACGUGGGCAACCUGCCCUGUAGUUGGGGAUAACUCCGGGAAACCGGGGCUAAUACCGAAUAAUCAAUUCUUUCGCAUGAAAGAGUUUUGAAAGACGGCUUCGGCUGUCGCUAUAGGAUGGGCCCGCGGCGCAUUAGCUAGUUGGUAAGGUAACGGCUUACCAAGGCGACGAUGCGUAGCCGACCUGAGAGGGUGAUCGGCCACACUGGGACUGAGACACGGCCCAGACUCCUACGGGAGGCAGCAGUAGGGAAUCAUCCACAAUGGACGAAAGUCUGAUGGUGCAAUGCCGCGUGAGUGAAGAAGGUUUUCGGAUCGUAAAGCUCUGUUGUGAGGGAAGAACAAGUACAAGAGUAACUGCUUGUACCUUGACGGUACCUCAUUAGAAAGCCACGGCUAACUACGUG